rnacentral:rRNA from 1 species
AUUGAACGCUGGCGGCAUGCUUUACACAUGCAAGUCGAACGGCAGCGCGGGCAUCGCCUUCUCGUCGAGUGGCCAACUGGUGAGUAAUGCAUCGGUACAUCCCCAUCUGUGGUGGCUUGCGCGGCGACAGCCGGAUUCAUACCGCAUUCGCCCUGACGGUCUACGCGGGGGACCGAAAGACCUUCCGCCCUUGCACGAUCCGAUGUCGGAUUAGCUAGUUGGUGGGGUAAAGGCUUACCAAGGCGACGAUCCGUAGCUGGUCUGAGAGGACGACCAGCCACACUGGGACUGAGACACGGCCCAGACUCCUACGGGAGGCAGCAGUGGGGAAUUUUGGACAAUGGGGGCAACCCUGAUCCAGCCAUGCCGCGUGCGGGAAGAAGGCCUUCGGGUUGUAAACCGCUUUUGUUAGGGAAGAAAUCCUCUGGGCUAAUACCCCGGGGGGAUGACGGUACCGGAAGAAUAAGCACCGGCUAACUACGUG